AUGAAAAAUUCAAAGUUAAAUGACACUUUAAAGGAGACAGGAACACAAGAUUUUUUUCAUAGAAUGACCAAGAUUAAAAAUGCCACCAAGUUGAUCUCUUUCAUCAGAUUUAAUGAUAAUCUUUUAACUGAUUCUAAUGACAUUGCAAAAUAUUUUAUAGAUCAAUUCACUUCUUUCUUCAUUGUCCGUAAUCAGUUCCAUGAUAAAGUUAUCAUUGAGAAAGUGAUUCCAAAACUAGUUAAUGUUAAUAUGAAUAACCUUCUUACCCUGAUUCUUAGCAUAAGAAUCCACAAUGUUGUAUUUUCCAUGAGCAAUGGGGGAGCCCUAUAUCUUGAUGGCUUUUGA